rnacentral:rRNA from 1 species
UGGGGAAUAUUGCACAAUGGGCGAAAGCCUGAUGCAGCAACGCCGCGUGAGUGAUGAAGGCCUUCGGGUUGUAAAGCUCUGUCUUUUGGGACGAUAAUGACGGUACCAAAGGAGGAAGCCACGGCUAACUACGUGCCAGCAGCCGCGGUAAUACGUAGGUGGCAAGCGUUGUCCGGAUUUACUGGGCGUAAAGGAUGCGUAGGCGGAUUUUUAAGUGAGAUGUGAAAUACCCGGGCUUAACUUGGGUGCUGCAUUUCAAACUGGGAAUCUAGAGUGCGGGAGAGGAGAAUGGAAUUCCUAGUGUAGCGGUGAAAUGCGUAGAGAUUAGGAAGAACACCAGUGGCGAAGGCGAUUCUCUGGACCGUAACUGACGCUGAGGCAUGAAAGCGUGGGUAGCAAACAGGAUUAGAUACCCUGGUAGUCCACGCCGUAAACGAUGAGUACUAGGUGUAGGAGGUAUCGACCCCUUCUGUGCCGCAGUUAACACAAUAAGUACUCCGCCUGGGAAGUACGAUCGCAAGGUU